UCCUGGUUUCCCAGGCAGUCCCAUCAGAGUGCUCAACUAAAUGGUAGCAACUAAAGACGAGGGUUGCGCUCGUUGCGGGACUUAACCCAACAUCUCGCGACACGAGCUGACGACAGCCAUGCAGCACCUGAACCACCAGUCCCCGAAGGGAAGAUCCUAUCUCUAGGACUGUCUGAUGUUGUCUAGCCCAGGUAAGGUUCUGCGCGUUGCUUCGAAUUGAACCACAUGCUCCACCGCUUGUGCGGGCCCCCGUCAAUUCCUUUGAGUUUUAAUCUUGCGACCGUACUCCCCAGGCGGGAUGCUUAAUGCGUUAGCUGCGCCACUGACAGGCAAGCCUGCCAACGGCUAGCAUCCAUCGUUUACGGCGUGGACUAC
rnacentral:misc_RNA from 1 species